rnacentral:rRNA from 1 species
GAUGAACGCUAGCUACAGGCUUUACACAUGCAAGUCGAGGGGUAACGAGAGGAAAGCUUGCUUUCCUUGUCGACGACCGGCGCACGGGUGAGUAACGCGUAUCCAACCUGCCCCCAACUAAGGAAUAACCUUGCGAAAGUAAGACUAAUACCUUAUAAUUUCCUCAGAUGACAUCUGACGAGGAAUAAAGAUUUAUCGGUUGUGGAUGGGGAUGCGUCUGAUUAGCUUGUUGGCGGGGUAACGGCCCACCAAGGCAACGAUCAGUAGGGGUUCUGAGAGGAAGGUCCCCCACAUUGGAACUGAGACACAGUCCAAACUCCUACGGGAGGCAGCAGUGAGGAAUAUUGGUCAAUGGGCGGAAGCCUGAACCAGCCAAGUAGCGUGCAGGAUGACGGCCCUAUGGGUUGUAAACUGCUUUUAUACAGGAAUAAAGUUAGCCACGUGUGGUUAUUUGUAGGUACUGUAUGAAUAAGGACCGGCUAAUUCCGUGCCAGCCGCCGCUUGUAA